rnacentral:rRNA from 1 species
UACGUAGGGUCCGAGCGUUGUCCGGAAUUAUUGGGCGUAAAGAGCUCGUAGGCGGUUUGUCGCGUCUGCUGUGAAAUCCCGAGGCUCAACCCCCGGACUUGCAGUGGGUACGGGGCAGACUAGAGUGUGGUAGGGGAGACUGGAAUUCCUGGUGUAGCGGUGAAAUGCGCAGAUAUCAGGAGGAACACCGAUGGCGAAGGCAGGUC